rnacentral:snRNA from 1 species
AACUCACCUGCAGCGUGUCAUCAAGAAAGCACCAAGUCGCAGCAUAUUUUGAGGGGUCGMCGACCCACU